rnacentral:rRNA from 2 species
AUGGACGAAAGUCUGAUGGAGCAACGCCGCGUGAGUGAAGAAGGGUUUCGGCUCGUAAAACUCUGUUGUUAAAGAAGAACAUAUCUGAGAGUAACUGUUCAGGUAUUGACGGUAUUUAACCAGAAAGCCACGGCUAACUACGUGCCAGCAGCCGCGGUAAUACGUAGGUGGCAAGCGUUGUCCGGAUUUAUUGGGCGUAAAGCGAGCGCAGGCGGUUUUUUAAGUCUGAUGUGAAAGCCUUCGGCUCAACCGAAGAAGUGCAUCGGAAACUGGGGAACUUGAGUGCAGAAGAGGACAGUGGAACUCCAUGUGUAGCGGUGAAAUGCGUAGAUAUAUGGAAGAACACCAGUGGCGAAGGCGGCUGUCUGGUCUGUAACUGACGCUGAGGCUCGAAAGUAUGGGUAGCAAACAGGAUUAGAUACCCUGGUAGUCCAUACCGUAAACGAUGAAUGCUAAGUGUUGGAGGGUUUCCGCCCUUCAGUGCUGCAGCUAACGCAUUAAGCAUUCCGCCUGGGGAGUACGGCCGCAAGGCUGAAACUCAAAGGAAUUGACGGGGGCCCGCACAAGCGGUGGAGCAUGUGGUUUAAUUCGAAGCUACGCGAAGAACCU